rnacentral:rRNA from 1 species
GACGAACGCUGGCGGCGUGCCUAAUACAUGCAAGUAGAACGCUGAAGGAGGAGCUUGCUUCUCUGGAUGAGUUGCGAACGGGUGAGUAACGCGUAGGUAACCUGCCUGGUAGCGGGUGAUAACUAUUGGAAACGAUAGCUAAUACCGCAUAAUAGUAGAUGUUGCAUGACAUUUGCUUAAAAGGUGCAAUUGCAUCACUACCAGAUGGACCUGCGUUGUAUUAGCUAGUUGGUGGGGUAACGGCUCACCAAGGCGACGAUACAUAGCCGACCUGAGAGGGUGAUCGGCCACACUGGGACUGAGACACGGCCCAGACUCCUACGGGAGGCAGCAGUAGGGAAUCUUCGGCAAUGGACGGAAGUCUGACCGAGCAACGCCGCGUGAGUGAAGAAGGUUUUCGGAUCGUAAAGCUCUGUUGUAAGAGAAGAACGAGUGUGAGAGUGGAAAGUUCACACUGUGACGGUAUCUUACCAGAAAGGGACGGCUAACUACGUG